rnacentral:rRNA from 1 species
CUAUACUGCAGUCGGACGGGAUCCAUCGGUAGCUUGCUAUCCAUGGUGAGAGUGGCGCACGGGUGCGUAACGCGUGAGCAACCUGCCUCCAUCAGGGGGAUAGCCUCUCGAAAGAGAGAUUAACACCGCAUAACAUAAUUUACCGGCAUCGGUACGAAUAUUAAAUAUUUAUAGGAUGGAGAUGGGCUCGCGUGACAUUAGCUUGUUGGUGGGGUAACGGCCCACCAAGGCGACGAUGUCUAGGGGCUCUGAGAGGAGAAUCCCCCACACUGGUACUGAGACACGGACCAGACUCCUACGGGAGGCAGCAGUAAGGAAUAUUGGUCAAUGGGCGGAAGCCUGAACCAGCCAUGCCGCGUGCAGGAUGACUGCCCUAUGGGUUGUAAACUGCUUUUGUCCGGGAAUAAACCUCCUUACGAGUAGGGAGCUGAAUGUACCGGAAGAAUAAGGAUCGGCUAACUCCGUGCCAGCAGCCGCGGUAAUACGGAGGAUCCGAGCGUUAUCCGGAUUUAUUGGGUUUAAAGGGUGCGUAGGCGGCCCGUUAAGUCAGGGGUGAAAUACGGUGGCUCAACCAUCGCAGUGCCUUUGAUACUGACGGGCUUGAAUCCAUAUGAAGUGGGCGGAAUAAGACAAGUAGCGGUGAAAUGCAUAGAUAUGUCUUAGAACUCCGAUUGCGAAGGCAGCUCACUAAGCUGGUAUUGACGCUGAUGCACGAAAGCGUGGGGAUCGAACAGGAUUAGAUACCCUGGUAGUCCACGCCCUAAACGAUGAUAACUCGAUGUUGGCGAUAGACAGCCAGCGUCCCAGCGAAAGCGUUAAGUUAUCCACCUGGGGAGUACGCCCGCAAGGGUGAAACUCAAAGGAAUUGACGGGGGCCCGCACAAGCGGAGGAGCAUGUGGUUUAAUUCGAUGAUACGCGAGGAACCUUACCCGGGCUUGAAAGUUAGUGGAGGAUGCAAAAACGCAUCCGUCCUUCGGGACCCAAACUAGGUGCUGCAUGGCUGUCCUCAGCUCGUGCCGGGAGGGGUGGGUUAAUCCGCACCAACGCACCCCUAUGUUUAUUGCCACCAUGUAUGGGGGGGACCUAAAAAAAU